rnacentral:lncRNA from 1 species
AACGCGAUGGACGGCCCAGAUGAGAUGGAUGUAAAUACCUCACUUCACACCGAAACCUAACCUUAGCAACCAGCCCCUCGCCAGAGAAGAAGAACCAAUCGCUAGAGAAGGGAGCCGAUCGUCGCCCACGUCUGCGCCGGAGCCACCUCCGACCGCCAAAAAAGGUAAAAAAAUUUAUUCACUCAAAAUUUGAUUUUGAACACCCCCAUUGCUAAAUCGGAGCAAAAAGACUGACGGAUGAACCAGAAACUGUG